ensembl:lncRNA
ACCCAACAAACAUAAUCACUAUUAUGAGAUUUGGCUUCUUACUUUUUUUCUCCACUUCUUUAUUUUCUGAUCUCUUCUCUUGCUUUUGUCACUCUGGAGCUCCACAUUCUUCUCCAGGAUCCUCGCUCCAGCCUGCAUCUUCUUCCAGAACUUUCAUUAUCUCUCCUUUCUCUUGCUGUAAUUUUCCAUUUUGCUCAUUCUGCCUUCUCUCACAACUCAUAAACCCAAUCAUGUGUUAAAUUAAAUCCUUCUAACCCAUCUCAAAUCCAUUUCUCAAACAUUCCCCUACAAGCUCCUUGGUAAUAGCUCUUCUCCAAGAAACGAAUAUCCACUUUUCCUCUACCUAUCAACACAUUAUCAAACCUUUUCCUUCUCUCAAAAUGUUCUCAUGUCCCUCAUUCUCACUCUUCUUCACUUCCUUUGUCCUGAUCUCCGCCUCCAUCCCCAGCAGCAUUUCAUUCCCACUCUCUCCCUCUCUUAGGCUCAGGCGCUCUCCUUUCCUCUUUCACAUUUACCCCUUCAGGGUCAACAACGUUCUGCUUGGUCCUAAUUUCUCCUGGUUGACUUGCAGGACUUCCCCUAUCUGCUUCUCUUUCCUUCUUUAGCUUCAAUCCUUCAUCUGCCUCCAUCACUGGGUUCUUCAUCUAUAACCUCUUUCUCCUCCAUAGAAACAGAUUCAUCAGUAAUAGCAUUCGCCCCACUCAAGACAUCUUCCUCACCUGCUACCCCUUUCUCAGUCCCUUCCAGCUCUUCAUCACUCCCUUCCACUCUUCCAAAAGGAAUUUCCAUCUCAGCAUCAGUAACUUCUAACAAUCUUUCACCACCAGUAACUUCUACCAUUCUUUCAACAUUCUCUUCAUUUAUGCUUUCCAUUCUUGAACCCUCCAACUUCUCUCCACUAGUCUCCAGCUCCUCUCCACUGGUGCCCAGCUUCUCCCCACUGGAUCCCAGUUUCUCUGCACUUGACUGCAGUUUAUCUCCAGUGGAUCUCAAAUCCUCUCCACUGGUCCCCAGCUUCUCUCUACUUGACCCCAGCUUCUCUUUACUCGACCUCAGCUUCUCUGCACUCAACCUCGGUUUCUCUUCACUCAGCUUCUCUGCACUGGACCUCAGCUUCUCUCCACUUGCCCUCAGCUUUUGUCCACUUGACCUCAGUUUCUCUCCACUCAGCUUCUCUGCACUCGACCUCAGUUUCUCUCCACUCGACCUCCGCUCCUCCUCAUUCUGCCCUGGUUUAUAUCCUCUGGCUCUCAAGUCCUCUCCACUGGUCCCUACCCCAGUAAACUUCAAACUCUCUUUCAACCCAGACCCCCUCCCAGCCUCUGCUGUAGUCUCUGCCCUCUCUGAUUCAGCCCCUAUUUGGCGUCUGACUUGCUGCUUUCCCCACACCUCCUUUGGGCUGUCUUUCCCCAAACCUUCUGAACCCUGUAAUGCAUUUGCUACACUGUGCAGCAGCUUCACAUCCAUCCCUUCCCGACUCCGGCCUGACUUCCCUUUCAACACCGUCUUUUCCACAUCUUCCAGUCUCCAGGACUCAGACUCAAGCUUCUGGUCCCAGAUCCUAGGCUUUUGCGUGUUUCUACCCAGGAGCUCCAUUUUCUUCCCGAUCACAAUGAGCCCGUUCCAGGGCACCCAUAGUUUUUCUCGCAGCAGCUGUGUCCCUCUGCUUGCCGGCUCCAGUUGCGGCCACCCGCGGACCCCGGCCUGGCCUUGGGCGCCCUGGCCGCGGGCUUUGCGGCGCCCCCUUACCCCCCUGCGCCGGUGACCCCGCCGCUCCCUCAUGCCGCAGAGCGGAAGUCCAAACGGAACCCCUUUCUCCACAGAUAUUACCCCCUGCCCUCGCCCCUAAUCCACCACCCCACCCCC